rnacentral:lncRNA from 1 species
GCCGGGCUUGCUGUCCCCGCUGGGACACGGGACAGGCGACAGGACGGCUGUCCGCCACUGCAGGCCCAUCGGAGGUGCCAGGGUUUGGGGUGUGAGCAAGAGGCCCCAUGGGCGCCAUCUGCGGGGGGCCGGGCUGGAGGGUGCUCAUGCAAGCACUGCCUCUGCUGUGCCUGCUGCAGCCGCUUCCUGGGGGCACCUGGAACGAAGAGCUCCACGCUAAUCCUGUGCCUUUUAUGAGCCCCGCGAAGGUGACCCAUCCUCCAGGUGCAUUGACAUUUGGGGAAGAAGCCCAGGUUCUGGAGAACCCGCCCCCGCUGGCGUCCUGGGACCAGGACAUUGUGAAAGCCACCAGCAGAGCACCGUUAAGUGCCGCCAGCAGGAGGUCGCAGGCCGCUCCGGACCCGGGUGACCACGCCGACAGGUAUGUCAGCGAGCCCCCACGGAGCCCCUGCAUACGGGCCUCCGGGGACCCUCCUGGGCCGGGGUGUGCUCCGGAGUGCCGUCUGGGGAGGCAGUCCUGGGCCCACGGGCCACGUGAGCCGCGAGUGCCGCCAGCCCCCCUGUCCUGCGCCUUUCCCCCUUCAUCUUCAGAGACUCCUGGGGACCUUCCAUCACAAUCACGAGCUUCUGGAACAGCAGUGGCCCGGACCCCUGUCGCCCACGGAAAUGUGCGGUCGGGCCAGGGAGCAGUGUGCCCUGUGGCCUUCUCCAGGUGGGUGCCCACCCGGCACGGGUGACCGUGGCCAGAGCGCCGCUGGGGUCAGGUGGCCCUGGGGCCCACGGCUGAGGCCCGUCCCCAGGAUGCUGCUUGGGCGGCCCAAGAGCAGGCCAUGACUCGGGGCCUCCGUAAAGGACCAAGGACACUGCAUCGUUGACGUCUGCAGGAGCACCACGGCCCGGCUGGGUGCUCUGGUGUGU